rnacentral:rRNA from 1 species
GCUAUACAUGCAAGUCGAGCGAAUGACGAGGAGCUUGCUCCUCUGAUUUAGCGGCGGACGGGUGAGUAACACGUGGGUAACCUGCCUGUAAGACGGGGAUAACUUCGGGAAACCGAAGCUAAUACCGGAUAAUAAAGAGAGACUCCUGUUUCUUUUUUGAAAGUCGGUUUCGGCUGACGCUUACAGAUGGGCCCGCGGCGCAUUAGCUAGUUGGUGAGGUAACGGCUCACCAAGGCCACGAUGCGUAGCCGACCUGAGAGGGUGAUCGGCCACACUGGGACUGAGACACGGCCCAGACUCCUACGGGAGGCAGCAGUAGGGAAUCUUCGGCAAUGGACGAAAGUCUGACCGAGCAACGCCGCGUGAGCGAUGAAGGCCUUCGGGUCGUAAAGCUCUGUUGUCAGAGAAGAACAAGUACCGGAGUAACUGCCGGUACCUUGACGGUACCUGACCAGAAAGCCACGGCUAACUACGUGCCAGCAGCCGCGGUAAUACGUAGGUGGCAAGCGUUAUCCGGAAUUAUUGGGCGUAAAGCGCGCGCAGGCGGUUCCUUAAGUCUGAUGUGAAAGCCCACGGCUCAACCGUGGAGGGUCAUUGGAAACUGGGGGAACUUGAGUGCAGGAGAGAAAAGUGGAAUUUCCACGUGUAGCGGUGAAAUGCGUAGAGAUGUGGAGGAACACCAGUGACGAUGCUGC